rnacentral:rRNA from 1 species
UACGUAGGGGGCUAGCGUUGUCCGGAAUCAUUGGGCGUAAAGAGCGUGUAGGCGGUCCGGUAAGUCCGCUGUGAAAGUCGGGGGCUCAACCCUCGAAUGCCGGUGGAUACUGUCGGGCUAGAGUGCGGAAGAGGCGAGUGGAAUUCCUGGUGUAGCGGUGAAAUGCGCAGAUAUCGGGAGGAACACCUAUUGCGAAGGCAGCUCGCUGGGACGUUACUGACGCUAAGACGCGAAAGCGUGGGGAGCAAACAGG